CGGCAGAGGCGGAAGCACAGUCGCUCUGAGGUCGCCCGUGGCCGCAGGUGCCUCAGCCCAGCCGCGCGCCUUGGCCCUUGGCCGCCUACUCCUACCGCCCCGGCCUUGGGCGGCCCUGGGCCUGCUGCGGGCGCGGCGCUGCCCGACCAGAGCUUCCUGUGGAACGUCUUCCAGAGCUGCCACCUGGCACCGCCCCGGCACCUCCCGCCUCCCCCGCAGCUGCCCCGGACCCGUGUCCCGACCCCCGCGGCCAACCCCGUUCCCUGCCGGUUGCCCCGCGGCCUCCCCCGUCACCUGCCGGGUCCCCAGCGGCCUCCCCCGUCCCCUGCCCCGACCUCCGCCGUCUCCCCCGCCCCUGCCCGGACCCCCGCGGGCGCCCCCGAACCCUACCCCGACCGACGCGGCCGCCCCCAUCCCCUGCCCCGACCCCCGCGGCCGCCCCCAUCCCCUUCCGGGUCCCCCGCGGUCUCCCCCGUCCGCUGCCCGGUCUCCUGGGGCCGCCCCUGCCUCCUGCCCGGUCCCUGUCCUGUGCGUCGGGCCCUUCCCAAGGUGCAGAGGGCGCCACUGCAGACCCGAGGUCGCGGCCACCGGCUCCUGGGCCAGGCCCUGUUUCUCGCCUCGAGCCGUCGGGGGAGGGUCUCCAGGGUGCUUGUUUGGGGAAAGCGGAAACAGACUGUCUGGGCCGCUGUUAAAAUGUCAGCAGCCAAGGAAGAAGCAGCGACCUGGCGUCUGCUCGGGCCAGGAUGAAGCCCCACCCGCUGUACAGGAUGCAAAGCCCUCCUCUAUAAAGUGCGUGCGGGGCCAGAUGCAGUGGCUCACGUCUGACCUCCCAACACUUUGGGAGGCCGAGGCAGGGGCAUCGUUUGAGACCAGCCUGGACAACAUUGUGAGACCCUGUUCCUUGAAUUGCCCUGGGAGAUUUCCUCAGCUUGUACUGGAGGUGUGUGGCCCCAUGAAGCCCAUAGUCACCGUUCACCCUGAGAGACGCUGGCUUUGGGGCUCACAUGCCUGCUGCGGGGCAGCCCCAGGAGAUGGCCACCCUGUUUCUCCUGGAGCUGGAGCUGCGCGUGUUCUCAGCAACUGUGGUGGCUGUCCUGUUUUGUUUGCAUCUUAUAAACCUUUACCUGAUUACAUUUUCCUCUUCAAUUUAGCUGCUAGAAAACUUAAAGUCAGAUUGGUGGCUCACCAGUAAUGAGAGUUUAGAGUAGAGGUAAACUUUAUGACAUAGUCUUAGACUCUUCACUUUCUCCUCAGCCAACAUGAUUCACAUUUACUUUAUUUUGCUGUACUGUGAGUGUCUUUGUGUUUCCUGAAUUCCUUCUGGAAUAAGGCAGGUUGUUAGUAAGCACAGGUUUCUGGUCCAUCUCAUAGCCUCAGGCAGUGGGCGGUGCUGUCCGUGCUCCCUUUCUGGGUUACCUGUGGUAGCUCUGAAGUUGCAGGGCUGCGAUUUGAAGCCUGAUUUAGUACACCGUGUUUCUGUUGUGUUCUGUGGUGGUUUGCUCCUCACAUGUGAGCAUUCACCCUGUGGCCCUGUGUUUUUCCACCACACCUCUGCCUGGUGGCAUCCUACUGGAUGUCUCAGCCGAGCCACUCUGUUCUGAAGACGCCCUUGUCCUCCACCCCUUUGCUUUGGGCUCUGAGCUUCUUCUGCCUUUCAUCUCUGUAGGAUGAAGCCCCACCCGCCCUUCAGGAUGCCAGCCUUGGCAACAUUUGCUUGUAUUGUAGGUGAAACCGCACUGAGAAGGUAUUUGUGGCCCGUAUGCUGAUUGAUUGAUGAGACUUCUUUGCACAGGAGAGCUGCUAAAAAUUACUGCGGUGAACAGGUAUGAAGAAGACUGUUCUCUGCCCUUCUUUUUGCAAUAAAAUGUUACAAACUAUCUUGAGAUUGAUCCCUUUUCGGGUGUUUGGGUUUUUUUUAACAUUCACAUAUUUCUUGGAAUUAUAAGAAAUUAACUUUGUGCUUCUGAAGUGGGUUUCCCUUAAUAUAACACUGAUGUAUUUGUAAGGGGCAUUUUUAAAGUUGUACUUUAAAAAAUAAUAAUUCUUACAUUCGUUUGAAGGUUUUUUGUUUGUUUGUUUGUUUGUUUUUGAGAUGAAGG
rnacentral:lncRNA from 10 species